UUCUACUGUUUGCUACUUGUUUACUGUUUUUUUACUGCUUUACUAUGAAAUCCUUGUAUGAGUGUGGUUGUGUUAAGGCUAUGUGCCCUAUAUCUAAAUAAUAAGCUAAAAAUCAAUGACAGAUACACUUUGGAUGAUAGUUUUACAUGCAUUUACUUUGUAUUAUGUAAACAACCAUCUGUGUGGUUACACUGUAAUGCCAUGUCAUACCCAGUGAGAGAGUGAAAGUAAAGCUUGAACAGACUGCUGGGAGUGGUCACACAGCCCCAUGGGGUGGUACCCUUUGUAAAAAAGAUUGAGUGAUAGUUGUAAGACACAUUGGUGUAAUGUAAAAACAAUGUGGGCGUAAAAUAAAAAAUACCCUGGAAGAAUAAAGUCAGUCUGGUCCCCCCAAGGCUUUAAAAAUCUUCUUGCAGGGCACUGAUACUGGGGAACACUGGAACCUAGGAACAAUGUUGUAUAAAUUGGGAUACACGUGUUUUUGUGUUUUGUCAGUAUUCCAGGAGAUCCUCUUUUCAUCUUGUGUUGUUUUCAACCAGGUACCGCUUCACAUCUACAACUGCAUCUGCUGUGGCACUGGAAAUUAUUCUCUUCUCAUCUACUGUUGCAUCCAGCACAGCUCACAGUUCACCGAAAAUAGCUGAAGAGCUGAUUAGUAAUACGCAUUUGUAACAUUUGGGGCUGUAAUGUCACAGCAGUAAUCCAUUAACAGCUAUUUGCAGAAUGGUUAAAAACCUACCAGAGGUGCUGGUACCUUUGGACCUGGUAGUUAAAAACUUGAGUGUUUCUUAUCACAACGGAACACUCUGCCUUUAGCCACCAUACUGCCUCUUGUGCCUUGUUUUGGCUGAUGAAUCUAAGGGUUUUGUACCUUGGGUCCAACAUAGUGGCCAUUGUCAUCACAGAAGGGACUCACUGUUGGCCACAGUGCCUGGUCUGUAAUAACUUGCACAUGCAAUCAUAUUAGAUGCAGCAUCAGUGACAAAGCAUUUAACUUUAUCAGUAAUUCCCCACUCCUCCAUGCAGAUACCUACCACUUGUGCCAAAUUCUCAGCAGUGUGACUUGAAGGGAAAUACUUUACUCCAAGUAAUACUGUGUCCAGUUUGUCAUUGUCAUCUAUGAAAUGGCAGGUGAUGGCUAGUCCUAAAGACCAGAAUUAAAACCCAGGGAGAUCUGGUGUUUCAGGUUGUAGCACCCAGACUCUGGAAUGACUUGGGCCUGUCCCUCCAUGUGGGCGAUUCCAUAGACUCUUUUAAAAAGCAGUUGAAGACUAUUUUAUUCAGCAAAGCUUUUAGUUGAAGGCUGUUAUUUAUUUUAUGCAAUUAUUAUGUUGUUCUAUUGCACCCAUGAUAUGUACAGCACUUUGUGAUUUUUAUAUGUGAAAAGCGCUUUACUUUUUACUUACUUACAACACGUUUCCUCACGUCAGCGCAAGUGGCCUAACAAAUGCUAGGAAUGCAUGGCAGCCAUGAUACGUACGUGAACGCGUUGCUAACAACAAAUAUAUCCCAGCUUUUAAUUUAAAUUACACUGGGUAUGAACAGUAAAAGCCACGGGGACCCCCGGUGCUCUUUGGGGGACCCCAAAUUGGGCACCACUAGCCUACAACAACCCACAAAGCUCUGCAAAUCUACCGCAUCUUCAGUUUGAGAAACCACACUGAAUUGAAUCAGCCAGGUGUCCCAGACUAUCCGAGGCCCCCUUUGUCAUUGGUCACAUGAUUUUCAGCAAUAAGAUGCAAGCAUGACAGCGAGGCUCCAUUUGGCACGCUUCUUCCAUACCCUGUACACGCCUCGAUGUCUUGGCUUUAAACAUCCCAACACUAUCACUGUGUUGAUGCUGAUUAUAUCAGUUAAAAUGUGUGUACGUGAGUUCGGUACAUAAGAAUGAUUAAGCAACCUGGGUCAAUGGGCCUUUAUGGACUUUGAAUGGAUGUUUCUUGCUAAUUUGGUUUUACUAUAACUUGAAUGACACUUAAAUGAGGUGCAUUUAAAUAAGUUUUUUUCAGUAUAGUACACUUGAUUAACUUUUAUAUCAAACAUUUUUCUUUCCUGUCUGCAUUGUGAAAGUGAGCCUGCAAUUUGGAGAAGUCAUCUGUCUAAGUGAAGAAAGGUAGUCUAAUGAGGGCAGAAGACUAAUUCAGCAUUUUUUUUAAUACUAUAAUAUGCUCCAUCUGGUAGAUCUGUCUCAUUUAAUGCAUUUCACUGCUAUAAUAGAAGGUAAUUGGUGCUGCAUCUUGGGUACCUCUAAAAAGCCUGAGAAAGCAUUUACCAGUCAAAUGAUUUUUUAUUUUCACUUCAUAUAGCAUUUCACAUCAUGCUAACUAGUAAUAUGACAGUUUGCUCUUCUACAUACUUUGUUUUUUUUAUUCUCAUAGAAGCUGUAGCAAGUUCCAAAAUAAUUUUUCUGUCCUGUCUUUUUUUUUCCUAUGUUUCCUUCAUUUAGUUGGUUUCUGACAUAAUUGAAGUUUCACCAGUUCCAAGACAGUUUUUUGUCUGCCAAGGGCAGUGUGAUGUUGUACACUGUGCCACAGCUGUCAGCGGAGCCCAGGCCGACUAAAAAUUGGAAAAAUUACAAAAGCAUUGACUUGGAAGGAAUUAAAGGUCAGCAGUCAGAAAAAACACAGCCAGAAGAAUCAAGGAAAAGUCUAGAAAGUCACAUCCAACAAUGAAGACCAAUUAUAUAAAAAUGUUAGAAAACACACGCACACAAAAAUGAGGUCUAUCAAUCACAAUAAUUACAGUUUGUCAAAAUGCCUUUCAGCAUACUGAAAUCUCUCAGUUUUGAGAGUCAUGCAGCAAAUGUCACCAAAUGAGCAAAACAUAUUUAAUUAUCGUCCCAGACUUACCAGUGUCAGGUUAUGCUGUAAUAAAACUCUAGGGAGUGUUUUAAUAAAUCAAUCCCAACACAGGAAUAACAAUUUUAAGGCUAACUACUACUAAGAAAAUAUAUUGUUAUGACACUGUGUUAUUUCCAGCACCAGUUCAAUUGAAAAGGUAUUGAUGGGGUUGGCAGGGGCAGCUGGCUGAAUAUUGCAGGGCCACAGCUUAUCAUUUUUCAUGAUUCAAAGUGAUAGAAUUUACUUUAAAAGAAAGAUCUUAAGACUAAUGCAUAAUAAUAAAAAAAGCAAUAUGCCCUGGAUGACUCCCAAUCUGAUGUGGAAAUGAAUGUUAAGGUUGUUUGCUGUUGAGUGAAUGCAAACAGAAGUAGCCAGCAGACAAGGCCAUGCAACUAUAGCACUGAUUACAAGAUGAUGUUGCUUUUAUCUGGAUGCUGGCUUUUUCCAUUUCCUUUGCAUAUGGUGCUACAAUACUCUGAUAAUAAACCGACCUCUAAAACAAUAUGAUGCUCCUUAUUACCCCUCUUUGUGAAGGAAAAGGAAAAUGAAGACAAAUCCACUCAAAGACGACAUGCAACCUUCUGGUAACGUUAAUGGAGUUUGACAUGGGACAAAAGUCAGGUGUCAAUCAAAGUCUAAUGGUUUGAUCAGAUUUUAGAGACAAGUUAAAUGGAAAGAUGCUAAUAGACUGGAACAAAUACAAAUAUGCCUCAGAGAGAUUCAGAAAAUUUAGGACAGAGUCUAACGGGGCUUAACAGCUGACCAAACACAUGCAGAAAACAUCCACUGAUCAGCACAAUCAAUACAAGAGAGAAACAAGGGAUGUUUUUUCUUCAGUAAAAAUGAUAGGAACAUUCACUCUACAUUUUAAACCAGGUGGGAACUAUUAACGACACAAAGGUUUGACUAAAGGAGUCCAGAUUUAAUAAGUCUGAGGUACACUGAAGAAGGCUUGACCGUACAGAGCUGUAAAAGUUUCAAUUCAAUUCAGGUUUUUUUGUUUAGUGCGAAUUCACAACAAAGUCCUCUUAAAGUACUUUUAGAAACAGUCCAAUUAUAAUCCAUUUAAAAGAAAUCUAUCAUAUGAUCCACACUAGUCCAUCUUUCAAAUCAUAGAAAUUAGUUAACUAGAUAAGGAAACCAGAUGCUCUCAUUGAAUCUUGUCUUUAAUUCUGUCCCCCAUCCUGAGCAUGCAUGGGGUGGUGUGUGACAGUAGAAAUUUAAAGAGAAAUCUAAAAUGAACAGGUAUUGCUCAAGUAGAAAAGCAGUUUUGAGUCAUGUAUGGUGUCACACUGAUUGGUCAAAAACUACACCUACGCUUCUUAAGCUCAGCUGGACAGAGAAGCAUAAAGAGCCAGUUUUUUUUUCUUUUUUUGCUUGUUUUCUUUAAAUCUGACUGAUCGCAAACGUGAUCUCUUUUUAGUUUAAUUGAGGGCAGCUAUCAUUAAGCAAGUGCUAGAUUUCUAACAUUAGUCUGAAGUGUUUUAUUCUCAGCAGUUCAUAAUUAGAAUUAAUUUAACUUACAUAGAUUAGGAUUAUACUGGGAUGCAUCUUAAGCAGAUUGCAAUUUGCUAAGAAUAGUGAAUUUUAGACUCCAUGUAUAGACAGGCACACGUAAAUUUUUAUCAUAUAAGGUGCUUAGUGUCUUAGGUGCCUUAGAGACUGAACUUCAACACACAAACAUCAUAUAUGUAAACAUAUGUGUCUCCACAUGAUUGGUAAACUAAGGAACUUAAGAAAUGUCGUUGUCUGAAGGUAUAUAAAAGGUGCCUCACACAUGUGGUUUUGGGUUUCAUACUGAUCCAGAGACCCCACAGAUUUUUCUGCAGAAAUCUGUUUAAGAUGUCACUGUUAUGUUUCUGUAUAUGUGUGCCUGAGUUUGCAGGUAGGGCUGAGCAGGUUGCCAUGGGGACGGAGGGUGGAGGCUGGAGCCUCAAUUGACACCACCUGCAGAUCAUCAGCAUGCUCGUUAGCCGGCUCUACUCCCGGCUAUUUAGGUUCAUGCAGGAGCUCCAGUCUUUGCCAGAUUGUCAUUCUAUGCAGCAUGCCUAAGACCUUGAUCCCUCGGUUAACCUCAGCAUCCAGGAUUUGGACUACUCUUCGUAUCAAGCCGACUACCUGCCUGCUCGCCCUGCCUGCAACCAAACUCACAUCACCAUCCACAGAAAGCAUCUCCUGGUUCACUCCUCCACCAUCAGUCUCACUCUGGAACACAGAAGAGCUGCCCAGACUUGGACCAAGCCACAAACACUUCCUAUUAAUAAACCUUGUUUGCACCUUUCUCCUUGC